rnacentral:rRNA from 1 species
UACGUAGGGGGCAAGCGUUGUCCGGAUUUAUUGGGCGUAAAGAGCGUGUAGGCGGCCGUACAGGUCAGCUGUGAAAACUCGAGGCUCAACCUCGAGACGUCGGUUGAAACCGUACGGCUAGAGUCCGGAAGAGGAGAGUGGAAUUCCCGGUGUAGCGGUGAAAUGCGCAGAUAUCGGGAAGAACACCCGUGGCGAAGGCGGCUCUCUGGGACGGUACUGACGCUGAGACGGCGAAAGCGUGGGGAGCGAACAGG